ACAAGGAUAUCCGUGCAACAAUUUGAUCACAUGAUCUUUUAAAAUUAAAGUUAAAAAAAAGAAGUAACAGAGAAUCUUUGCCAACGGAGAUACGUAUUGCAGUGACUUUGAGAUAGGAAGAUCGACUGUAUAAUAUUAUUCCUGAAGUGUGUAAUGCAAUAUGGGAAGUGUUACAAGAAACAUAUCUUUGAUGUCCACAAGAAGAGAAUGAAUGGCUAAAAAUAGCAGAUGACUUCAAUAAUAUGUGGGAUUUCUCAAAUUAUAUCGAGGCAAUUGAUGGGAAGCGAUUUUCAAAGUUUCGGAAAUGCUUUUCCACACAUCCUUUUUUUCCUAAUACUUUGAAAUCUACAUUACAUUUAUCAUAUAAACAAUAAUUUUCGUGCACAAAAUCAAUAAUUAUUUCAUCUAGAUUUGUAUAUUCCAUGAUGAAAAUAAGAGGUUAUAUUGUAUAUAAUAGUCGUACAAUCGAAAGUCGGAUAUCGGAAAAGAUGAGAGUUGACCAACUCUUGUUACGAUAACGACAACCGACUUCCGACAGCUUUAUACGACAGCCGAGAACCGAGUGUGCAUGCGUCCGACAUCCGACGCCGACAUACGACGCAUUGUAGAACAGGCCUUAGUGUCACAUAGUGUCCGAUAUACGAACGUAUGAUAUCCAAUAAAAAAACAUCUUUCCAAUAAAGGAUUGAAGUCUCUAUGAGAAAGAUUA